rnacentral:lncRNA from 1 species
UUUUUUUUUUUUUUUUUUUUAUUUAUUUAUGAUAGUCACACAGAGAGAGAGAGAGAGAGAGGCAGAGACAUAGGCAGAGGGAGAAGCAGGCUCCAUGCACCGGGAGCCCGACGUGGGAUUCGAUCCCGGGUCUCCAGGAUCGCGCCCUGGGCCAAAGGCAGGCGCUAAACCACUGCGCCACCCAGGGAUCCCGUCUUUUUACAUUCUUAAUAAUACUUUUGAUUCUCCCAAAUUUUAAUCCUUUGAAAUCCAGUUGAUCUAUUUUUUUCUUUGUUGCUUGUGCUUUUGGUAUCAUAUUUAAGAAUCCAUUGCCAAAUCCAAGGUCAUGAAGAUUUAGCACUAUAUUUCUUCUAAGAGUUCUAUUAAUUCAUUUAUGUUUAGAUUUUGAUACAUUUUUUCAAGAUUUUAUUUUUGAGGAAUCUCUACACCCAGCAUGGGGCUCAAACUCACAACUCUGAGAUCAAGAGUCUCAUGCUCUAUCGACUGAGCCGGCCAGGUGCCCCAAUGCAUUUUUUUUUUUAAAGAUUUUGUUUAUUUAUUCAUAGAGACACACACAGAGAGAGAGAGAGAGGCAGAGACACAGGCAGAGACACAGGCAGAGGGAGAAGCAGGCCCCCUACAGGAAGCCCGCCGUGGGACUCGAACCCGGGUCUCCAGGAUCACACCCCAGGCUGCAGUCAGUGCUAAAUCGCUGCGACACCGGGGCUGCCUACCCCAAUGCAUUUUGAAUUAAUUUUCAGAUACAUUACAAGGUAGGGGUCCAACUUAAUUCUUUUGCAUAUAGAUAUCCAAUUUCCCCAGAACCAUUUGUUGAAGAAACUCUUCUUUCUCCCACUGAAUGAAUGGUGUUGGUGUUCUUGUCAAAACUCAGUUGGCCAUGGAUGUGUAUGUUUAAUUUCUGUGCUAUUAAUUCUGGGCCAGUGGGUCUGUAUGUUUGCUCUCACACCAGUGCCACACAGUCUUGAUUGCUGUAGCUUUGUAGUAAGUUUUGAAAUUGGGAAGCCUGAGUCCUCUAACUGUGUUCUUCUUUUUAAAUAUUAUUUUGUUUAUUCGGGGCCACUGGUAAUUCCACAUAAAUUUGAGGAUUUUCUAUUUCUGUAAAAAAAAAGCUGUUGGAAUUUUUUUUUAAGAUUUUAUUUAUAUAUUCAUGAGAGACACAGAGAGAGAGAGAAAGAGAGAGAGAAGCAGAGACAUAGGCAGAGGGAGAAGAACGUUGCAUGCAGGAAGCCUGAUGUGGGACUCGAUCCUGGGACUCCGGGAUCACACUCUGAGCCAAAAGAUGCUCAACCGCUGAGGCACCUAGGCGUCCCAAGGUGUUGGAAUUUUGAGUGAAUCUGUACACCACUUUGGGUAGUGUUACCAUCUUAAAACUACUAAGUCUUAAAAUUCAAGAGCGUUGGAUGUUGUAACAUUUAUUGAGGUCAUAUUUAAUGUUUUUUAGCAGUGCUUUGUAGUUUUCAGUGUAUAGGUCUUUCACCUCCUUGGUUUAGUUUAUUCAUUGGUAUUUUGUUCUCUUAGAUGCUAUUGUAAGUGAAAUUGUUUUCUUAAUUUCCUUUUUUUGGAUUGUUCAUUGUUGGUGUAUAGAACACAGCUGAUUUUGUGUGUGUGUGUGUGCAUGUAUGUUCAUCUUGUACUCUGCAGCUUUGCUGAAUUUGUUUAUUAGUGCUAGUCAGGGCUUUUUUUUUUUUUCCUUUCUUUUUUUUCUUUUUGAUCUUUGGAAUUUUCUAUCUUUUGGAUCAUGUCAUCUGCAAAUGGAGAUAGUUUUACUUUCCAAUUUGGAUGUCCCUUCCUUCCUUUCUUCGUCUUUCCCUCCUCCUCCCUCACUCUCCCUCCCUCCCUGUGUCCCUCUCUUUUUCUUUCUCUUUCAUUUUCUUUUUUCUCUCUCUCUCUCCACCUCUUUUUCUCCUUUUCUUUUCUUUUUUUUCCUUUCCUUACCUAAUUUCUCUGGCUAGAACUACCAGUGGUGAAAGCAGUUCUUCUUGUCUUCUUCCUGCACUUAGGAGGAAAGUUUUUAGUCUUUCACCAUUUAGUUUGAUGUUGGCUGUGGGUUUUUCAGAAUUCCACUUUCAUGUUGAGGAAGUUCCCCUAUAUUUUUAGUUUUCUGAAUUUUUUUUAUUAUGAAAGAGUGGUGGAUUUGGUCAAAUAUUACUUCUGUGUCAGUUGAGAUACUAAUGUGAUUCCCCCCCUUCAUUCUACUAAUGUAAUAUAUCAGUUGACUUUCUUAUGUUAAACUAUCUAUUUAUUCUUAAAAUUUAAUUGCCUUCUCCAGUAAGCUUUUUCUUACAUUCCCAAAUUGAGUAAAACAUCAGUUCUUUCACUGUGCUAACUUUAAAAUGUUACAUUUCUUUUUUUUUUUUUUAAGAUUUUAUUUAUUUAUU